rnacentral:rRNA from 1 species
GGAGUAUGGGCCGUGUCUCAGUCCCAUUGUGGCUGAUCAUCCUCUCAAACCAGCUACUGAUCGUCGCCUUGGUGGUCCAUUACACCGCCAACAAGCUAAUCAGAUGCAGGCUCAUCCUAGAGCACCGGAGUUUUCAAGAAUACCAUUUCAGGUACGCUCAUAUGGGGUAUUAGCAGAAGUUUCCCUCUGUUGUCCCCCUCUCUAGGGCAGAUUUCCUACAUAUUACUCACCCGUCCGCCACUUAUGUAUCUCCGAAGAGACCUUAUCGUUCGACUUGCAUGUAUGAAGCAUGCCGCCAGCGUUCGUC